rnacentral:rRNA from 1 species
UGGGGAAUUUUGGACAAUGGGCGCAAGCCUGAUCCAGCAAUGCCGCGUGCAGGAUGAAGGCCUUCGGGUUGUAAACUGCUUUUGUACGGAACGAAACGGCUCUGUCUAAUACAUGGGGCUAAUGACGGUACCUGAAGAAGAAGCACCGGCUAACUACGUGCCAGCAGCCGCGGUAAUACGUAGGGUGCGAGCGUUAAUCGGAAUUACUGGGCGUAAAGCGUGCGCAGGCGGUUGUGUAAGACAGGUGUGAAAUCCCCGGGCUUAACCUGGGAACUGCGCUUGUGACUGCACGGCUAGAGUAUGGCAGAGGGGGAUGGAAUUCCGCGUGUAGCAGUGAAAUGCGUAGAUAUGCGGAGGAACACCGAUGGCGAAGGCAAUCCCCUGGGCCUGUACUGACGCUCAUGCACGAAAGCAUGGGGAGCAAACA